rnacentral:rRNA from 1 species
GAAUCUGCCUGGUAGUGGGGGAUAACGCUCGGAAACGGACGCUAAUACCGCAUACGUCCUACGGGAGAAAGCAGGGGACCUUCGGGCCUUGCGCUAUCAGAUGAGCCUAGGUCGGAUUAGCUAGUUGGUGGGGUAAUGGCUCACCAAGGCGACGAUCCGUAACUGGUCUGAGAGGACGACCAGCCACACUGGGACUGAGACACGGCCCACACUCCUACGGGAGGCAGCUGUGGGGAAUUUUGGACAAUGGGCGCAAGCCUGAUCCAGCAAUGCCGCGUGCAGGAAGAAGGCCUUCGGGUUGUAAACUGCUUUUGUACAGAACGAAACGGCUCUGGUUAAUACCCGGGGCUAAUGACGGUACCGUAAGAAUAAGCACCGGCUAACUACGUGCCAGCAGCCGCGGUAAUACGUAGGGUGCAAGCGUUAAUCGGAAUUACUGGGCGUAAAGCGUGCGCAGGCGGUUAUAUAAGACAGAUGUGAAAUCCCCGGGCUCAACCUGGGAACUGCAUUUGUGACUGUAUAGCUAGAGUACGGCAGAGGGGGAUGGAAUUCCGCGUGUA